rnacentral:tRNA from 1 species
GGAGUAGCUCAGUUGGUAGAGCGCAACCUUGCCAAGGUUGAGGUCGCGAGUUCGAGACUCGUCUCCCGCUCCA